rnacentral:misc_RNA from 1 species
UCUCCGUAGGUGAACCUGCGGAGGGAUCAUUACUGAGUUCUGGGUCUAACCGACCCGACCUCCAACCCUUUGUUAUCCAACUCUGUUGCCUCGGGGGCGACCCGGCCUUCGGGCGUCGGGGCCCCCGGUGGACCACCCAACCCUGCAUCGUUGCGUCUGAGUCGAAAUAUAAAUCAAUCAAAACUUUCAACAACGGAUCUCUUGGUUCUGGCAUCGAUGAAGAACGCAGC